UCUCUUCAGCACUGCGGGGGACAUAUCCCCCACGUCCCCCGUGCCUCCUGCGCCCCUGUGUAGGCUACAGGAGUGAGACAUUAUCAGAGAUAUAUAAAUGGCUCUAGCUACCGGUCUUGGAAUCUUGAUUGGUCCUCUGGCCAGGGAACUGGUGUGUCAUAGUGGUGUGGAAUGUUGGGUAGGGGCCAGGCCAUCUUAUAUCUGUCUGCAGGGAGGUGAAUCUGUGUGCGUGUGUGUGUGUGUGUGUGUGUGUGUGUGUGUGUGUGUGUAUGUGUAUGUGUGAGAGAGAGUGUGUGAAUCUCUCUCUCUCUCUCUCUCUCUCUCUGAGCAGGGUGUUCACACCAGAAUAACUGAGGAGACUGCAUGUCAUCACCCCCCCCCCCUCUCUCUCUCACCGUCAAGGCUCAGUUUUAGUGUGCUUACAUAAGUGAAACAAAGAAAAUACAUUUAACAGUGGAAACACAUUUACGCAUACAGGGAUAUAAACAAUUUUAAAUCAAAACUUUAAGAUACAAAUCUGUAAAGUCUACGUAUAAGAGAGGCUAUUUUGAACGAAACGCCACAUGUAGUUCCACUGUGAAAAGAAAACUUCAGAUCAAUGGUUUGACCAAAUGGUUUUUGGACAGAGGCUGUGCAGAGAUUAUGAAUCAUCAGCUGUUUGAACAGACCUCUCGGUGUUGACACAUGUGUACUCAGCAUGUGUUACUGCACAGCAGAGAAACAUAAUCCUCAACGUCCAAGAUGACAGACUUUUCCAAAGGUUAAGACUGACUACUUUUGAUGAAACUUUCUAAUAGCUUCAUAAUCAGGGUCCCGUGGCAUGAUGGCAGCCGGCAGUGAGAGCGAUAGUGGACACAAGGAAACCUUCAGCGCCGAGCCAAAACCCACAGCCUGGGAUGGGGGGGGAUUUACGCCGAAACAGAAUAGACGGAUUGUGCUUCUCUUUCCACACUUGAAUUGCCCAUUCCAUUGAAUUAUGGAAUGGAAUAUAUGUACAAUAUAAAUAAACCUGCCUUCCAUUGCAUUGUGCGUACCUCACAUGAUACGACCGCUCGCUGACACGAGUGUUACGAGAUAUUUACUUUCUAUUCAGUUGCCAGGCGCUUAUCAGUGAUGCAUUUGUACUCCAUUGUCAUUUUUUUUUCUUGCUCAAAAAUAGACUUGCAGCAUAUUUCUUUGAUUUAUGUUAAAGCAACACUAUUUAUAUACUAUUUAACACAUUAUUUUCAUGAGAAGGCAUCAAUCUAUCUGUAUUAUUAAUCACUGGUGAGUAGUUCUCUUGUAAACAUAUUGCAUAUGCCUAUAGUAAUAUAGAAAAUGCUUUGUUUUUGUUUUUCUACUUUGUUUUUCAAAUUUAUGAGGAAUUAUUUUGUUUUAAUGCUAUAAGGUUGAAGAUAUUGAAGAUUUUGUUGUUAAAACAAAACUGUUUUCUAACUUUCGAGAAUGACUAAAACACCUGAAACUAACAAUCCAGAUGAAGGAAAUUGACAAGAAUAAUUUUCACUAUCCUUUCACUGUUCUGACUGUCAUCAUUAUGGGAGGUCUACAGAAUUCCCCAGCACCACCACCACUAGCACCACCCCACUAAGUAUUUUUCCUCUUGUCAUGUAAAAUGUUGACAGGCUCACAUAUACUGCACUAAUGAAAUGAGGAGCUACAUACCUAACUGUAACAUCCUCUCAGAUCUCAGAGGAUGGGCUUUGUGUAAGAGGAUCUGUUUCCUGUUGAACAGCUUAUUAACAGCAUUACAGGGCAGCUACAGAGAGCUACAGAGAUUUCUACGCUCAAAAGCAAACCAUGAUCCGAUGCUUAGAAAUUUACACAUUUACAUUUUUUCCUGACAAGAGGACAAUUUUAUGCAUUGCAUUGCAUAGUUACAUUUGUUUGCUAUAUUUAACUGAAAGACCAAUAUUUGAAUUUUGCAUUCUGCUUUACCAAUUUAUCUUUUAUGAACCACAGAAUAUCAUGAUAGACAUUCUAAUUAAACAAAGUCAUUUGAGCCAA